UGCUGUUCUGGGCAUCUGUGCUGACAGACAAACUACUCCUGAGCCUGGCGUUGGCUGGACCAUUGAUUUGGAGCAGAGUCAAGACCUCAGCAGACAGUCCUGGGUCAGGUUGUUUCCACCGGGAGUGGCAGUACUUGGCCUGCUGCAGCAGUGGCUCUGCUCUCUGACACCAGGAAUUUCUGCUCUCGCGUUUUCUUUCACAGACAAUUUGGCACUUCUCUCUCUUUAAUAUUAUGAAAUUCAGUAUUUCCACCAGGAGGUAAUGAAGGAAACAGCUUUGUCCCUGGAUUUUGAGACUGCUUGGAUCCUUUUGAUCCCCCCAAGAUGAGGGCCAUAAGGAGACACUGGCUUUUGUGUUCAUUGCUGGAUACAGCAUCACUUACUGAAAUCACCUGGAGAGCAAGCUGACAGUCUAGUAUGGAUAAGAUGUAGACCAACUCCUAAACCUGGUGAAGAUGGUGCAGGACAUCACAUAGCAUUUAAUGUAAAUGCUUUAAAAUGUGACUUCUCCUCCCAGAGUGUGCAAGCAGGGCUGAGUUAGUGCUGUUCAUUGUUGAAAAGCUUAGUCAAGGAGUCACCAACUAAAAACAACUUGGCAAAUUGUAUUGCUUGUGGAAAAAUACUUUGGCUUGUGCAGUGUUGUGAAUGUGAAAGGGGU